UACGUAGGGGGCAAGCGUUGUCCGGAUUUAUUGGGCGUAAAGCGCUCGCAGGUGGUUCGAUGCGUCGUGCGUGAAAGCCCCCGGCUCAACUGGGGAGGGUCACGCGAUACUGUUCGACUCGAAGGCAGGAGAGGGAAGCGGAAUUCCCGGUGUAGUGGUGAAAUGCGUAGAUAUCGGGAGGAACACCAGUGGCGAAGGCGGCUUCCUGGCCUGUUCUUGACGCUGAGGCGCGAAAGCUAGGGUAGCAAACGGG
rnacentral:rRNA from 1 species